AUUCCCUGGAACUGAUUUUGGCUACCUAUUUUGUCGAACACCGCUGUUACCUUCUCUCAUCCUCGUUCAUAUGGUGGAAAACACACGAAUGAAGGGGAUAAUACUUCAUUCGUGCGCUGAAAGUAUGCGAACGUAACCGACCCCAGAUAGUUAGAAUAUGGAACUUGCAGUCGGCUACAAACACACGAACGGCCGGUGAAAGGCAAACUUCAGUCGACGAUUCUGAGACCUGUGUUCGUGGGAUCUGAGCGCUAUUCGCCUAGAAUAUGCCCUCAGAUCCAAG